AGGCUUGUUCGGGUUGCGUCUCGAUCGUCCGGUCGCUCCUCCUUCCGGAGGUUGCGUCGGUUGGUCGGACCAUAUCUCGGGCAGUGUUGGGACGACGCAUGAGUGGCAAUCAGGAUAGGUUCCCUUUGCAGGCUCCCUGCUUCUCGCAUCGAACUGCAUUGGUCCUUCCCUUUCAUUUGAUCGCUCGCCUCGAUGGCCCGAGGGUCGGUCGCGAGUGAUGGGUGGGUUCCUGUGCUUGAUACCGGAUUUCGGUACUCGGAUUCAAUGUUGUUGUCCACGUCUUGGUUUCCCUUGUUCCUCCUCCGCCUCCUGCGCGUUGGUGGUUGUCGCGCGGGCAUCGAUGCUUUCCGUCCGGGCGGUCGUCCACCUCUGGGCGCUUCCGCUCGUGUCGGCGCGUCGAUGCCGUCCGCGUGCUCUUGGGUACGGAGAUAUCUCUUGUUAUCGCGCGGCCCUCUGUCGGCCGUUGCGAUCUCGACGUGUCGAAGCUUCUUUGCUUCCGCUCGGGUGACCCUCGUGCUUUCCUUGGCCCUCACGGAGAAUCUCCUCUCCGCGUUCGUCCUUGGGAGGCAUCGAGGUGUACAAUGGAAUGCUACCUGGUUGAUUCCUGCCAGUAGU
rnacentral:misc_RNA from 1 species